AUAACUCUCUUGUGUUCGUUAGUUGUUAACGUCCCCGAGCCGAUAAGUAAAAAAUUAGGAACUAUUUUCAUUUACUUUUGUGCAUGCCCAAUCUAAUUAGGAAGCCUACGGUAAAUAAUAUAUUUCCGCCUUGAACAUAAUGGUUCAAGGGCUACUAAUAACGACGGCACUUGGGAGCCAUA
rnacentral:other from 1 species